CCCAACUUAUGGGUCCCACUUAUGGGUCUCACUUAUGGGUCUCAAUAUGGAUCUCACUUAUGGGUCUCACUUAUGGGUCAGCCCCACUUAUGGGUCCCACUUAUGGGUCCCAUUGCCCCCACUUAUGGGUCCCACCCCCCACUUAUGGGUCCCACUUAUGGGUCCCACUUAUGGGGUCUCACUUAUAGGCCCCACUUAUGGGUCAGCCCCACUUAUAGGUCCCACUUAUGGCUCCCAUCCCCACUUAUGGGUCACUUAUGGGUCCCAUUGCCUCCACUUAUGGGUCCUGUCCCCCACUUAUGGGUCCCACUUAUGGGUCAGCCCCACUUAUGGGUCCCAUUGCCCCCACUUAUGGGUCCUGCCCCCCACUUAUGGGUCCCAUCCCCACUUAUGGGUCCCACUUAUGGGUCUCACUUAUGGGUCUCAAUAUGGGUCUCACUUAUGGGUCCCACUUAUGGGUCCCAUUGUCCCCACUUAUGGGUCCCACCCCCAACUUAUGGGUCCCACUUAUGGGUCUCACUUAUGGGUCUCAAUAUGGGUCUCACUUAUGGGUCCCACUUAUGGGUCAGCCCCCCACUUAUGGGUCCCAUUCACUUAUGGGUCAGCCCCACUUAUGGGUCCCAUUACCCCCCCUGCAGUGCCCCCCCCCCCGCUGUGGGUCCCUGUCCCGUCUCCUCCCCGACUGCUCGUCCUGCCUCGUGUUCAGCGCCCCCCGGCGCCAAGAUGGCGCCUACGGCUGGUGCGUGCAGAACGACACCUGCCUCCCAUUGGCCGAGGCAUCCCGGUGCCGCAUGGGCCGGGUGGGGGGCACCCACGGGUGGUGGGGUCCCCGUGCUCAGCUGCUGACGUCAUUGGAGCAGUGCAGGACGGACGACGUCCCCCCCGGGCUCCAUCUGCUCACAUUCCUACGGCC
rnacentral:lncRNA from 1 species